rnacentral:rRNA from 1 species
UACGUAGGGGGCCAGCGUUGUCCGGAUUUAUUGGGCGUAAAGAGCGUGUAGGCGGCCAGGUAGGUCUGGUGUGAAAACUCGAGGCUUAACCUCGAGAUGUCAUCGGAAACCAUCUGGCUAGAGUCCGGAAGAGGAGAGUGGAAUUCCUGGUGUAGCGGUGAAAUGCGCAGAUAUCAGGAAGAACACCAAUGGCGAAAGCAGCUCUCUGGGACGGUACUGACGCUGAGACGCGAAAGCGUGGGGAGCGAACAGG